UUUUUUGUUUGUUUGUUUUGUUUUACUUUCACCUUAUUUUAGUUAUUUUACCAUCACCAUCUUCGCUUUUUGUAUAGGAUUACAGUAGUUCUAGCACCUGUUGUUUCCUUAAUGAGUUAUACAGGUUAUUAGUAGCCUAAUCCCUGUUUCCUCUCUACUUCUCCUCACUCCUCAGUGCCAGACCUAAUACAUUGAAGGGCAGCUACUGUUCAACACAAUGUAAGCCAAGGUAGAACUAGGAACAAUGUUUCUUUUUCUUUUUUUGACGAGGCAUUUGGUGGGUCCCUGCUAGUUUAGCUAACAGUCUAACCCUAGGUUUAUGAGUCUAUUGCAGCAUCACCCACAAGUGACACCUGCUUAGCCAUAUCUCUUAG